rnacentral:rRNA from 1 species
GUUCCUGACUGCUGCUGCAGCUCCUUUACUGUGUGCUCUCUCUCUCCCCCCCACCCCCACUUCUCCAAGCAGCUCGAAGCCUCGGGUCCGGUGCCCCCAAAAAUGGCGAAAUCGCCGGCCGAUCGGAGCCCAAUCUGAGCCCGCACGCUCCGCAGCAGCCCGAUCUCCCGAAUCCCCAAAAGCGCCCCGGCUGGAAAUGGCCGCCACUGUCCCGAUCGGGCUCGCGGCGCGCGAUUCGGUGGCGCUUUGGCCCGGGGGACCCGAGGGCCGCAGGUUUUCUGAUUGACCCUGACUGAGCCGUGGUUGCUCUCGCUCUUCGGUGGGGUUCCGGGCGUCCUGCGGAGAGAGCAGCGUCCGCGACGGGAUUGGAGGAAUGCUCAGCGAGAGCCCUUUGGCGAUGCGUCAGGAGAUGGGCGGCGUGAGAGGGGAGGAAGAGCCGGAGGACGAGCUUGAGGCGCUGCUCCGUGCCGGUGGCGGCGGAGCGCGUCGGCGAGGGGAGGAGGCUGGUGAGAAGGAGCGGCUCAGCAUAUUCCGAAGCGGGUCGGCGCCACCGACCAUUGAGGGUUCGCUAAACGCCAUCGGCGGCUUGCUCCGCGGCGGUGGUGAGACGCCCCGGGCUGCUGCCGCCGUUCCUGAUGCCGAGGAGUUGAACGGACAUGGCGGACUCCUGUCGGAGGAGGAGCUCCGGGCUGACCCAGCCUACCUGUCGUACUACUACUCGCACGCCAAUCUUAACCCGAGGUUGCCACCGCCGGUCCUGACAAAGGAGGACUGGCGGUCAACACAGCGGCUGAAGGCAGGGGUAGGGGUGUUGGGAGGGAUUGGGGACAGGAGAAAGGCAGUGCAGGAGGAGGCUGGACAGGGGAUGGCUGCCGGCAUGUCGCUGUUCCCGCAGACUCCUGGUUUCGAUCGAGAGGAGGAUGGAAACAAGGGUGUGGGCGGUGCUGCAGAGUGGGUGGAUAGAGGAGGUGAUGGGCUCAUUGGGUUAUCACUAGGGAGGCAACGCAGCUUUGCUGAUAUGUUUCAGGAUAACCUUGGCCGCAGAACACCUACUUCAGAACAUUCCUCUCGUGCAGCCAGUCGCAAUUCAUUUCUUGACAACCAGGAAUCAGUCGAUCCUUCUGAGAACCAAUACUCUUUACAUAAUGAUACUAUGGAUGCACAGCGCUCUGUUGGAAAUGCACAAAGUGUCGGCGGUCUUUCCAGUAUUAAUGCAUCUGCAUCUCAAACUUUUGCUUCUGUUCUGGGUUCAUCAGCUUCAAGGAGUGCGACACCAGAUUCCCAUUAUAUCCCCAGGGUUCCUAGCCCUGGCCUUCCACCUGUUGGUGCUAGGAUUAAUUCUAAUGAGAAGAGAUUGAAUUGUUCAUCGUCAUCAUUCAACACAAUAUCAUCAAAAGCACUUGAGCCUGAUGAUAUAUUAACUGCACUAUCUAGCAUGAACUUGUCAAAAGGUGGCACUUUGAACGACAACAGCAACAUUAGUCAAUCAAAGUUUCAGAGAGAGAUAAGUGACUACCAUAAUUUUGCUCUUGGCCCGCAAGCUGCUCAAGUCAGCAGUAGGCAGUAUUCUGCGAUGUUGGAAGCAGAUGCUGAAUAUGCAGGUGUACCAUCAAAUUCUUCAUUUGCUGAUAUUAAGAAUAGUGUACCUAAUCCAGCAGACUUCAGAGGUUCCACAAACACACGGUUUGAUGGACAUGGGGAGAUAAAAAGAUCUACUCUUUCUGCUCGUUCAUAUCAGAAGUCUCCACCAUCUUCUAAUGCAAGUCCAGGUGGUUCUCCUGCUCAACAUCAGAAUCUUGAUGGAACAAAUUCAGCAUUUCUGAACUAUGGGCUCAGUGGAUAUCCACUCAAUCCGGGUUUCAACUCUAUGAUGAUGAAUAACAUGGGUUCAGGUAGCAUGCCUCCUCUGUUUGAAAGUGGUGCAGCAGCAUCUGCUAUAGCUUCACUCGGGUCAGAUUCAAGGAACCUCGGUAGCAAUAUUUCAUCACCACCUGCCUUAAGUCUAUCUGAUCUGCAUAACCUUGCGCAGGAAGCAGCCAACUACAGUGAUCCUUACUUGGAAAGAGGUUUCAUGGGUAGUUCGUAUGCUGAUUUAACACCAGUUCAGAAAGCUUAUGUUGAAGCUUUGCUUCAGCAGAAGCAAUAUGGAAUGCCAGUUGGUAAAUCAGUAGCCUCAAAUCAUGGUUAUUUUAGCAAUCUGGGUUACGGCAUGGGUAUGACAUACCCUGGAAGCCCUUUGGGAAGUCCUGUUGCUUCCCCAUCAGGUCCUGGCAGUCCAAUUAGGCUCGGUGAGCGGAAUCUGAGGUUUCCUUCUAACACGAGAAGCUUGACUGGUUGGAAUGUUGAUCCAAGUGGCUAUAUGAAUGGGAACUUUCCAUCUUCACUUUUGGAUGAAUUCAAAAGCAAUAAGGCCAGAAGUUUUGACCUUGCUGAGAUUGCUGGGAAUGUGGUGGAGUUCAGCGCUGACCAAUAUGGAAGUCGUUUCAUACAGCAAAAACUUGAAACUGCGACAGUUGAGGAAAAAAACAUGGUUUUUGAGGAGAUCAUGCCUCACGCUCUCUCAUUGACGACUGAUGUAUUUGGGAAUUAUGUAGUGCAGAAGUUUUUUGAGCAUGGGAGCUCCACACAACGCAGGGAGUUGGCUAAUAAACUAUUUGGACAUGUACUAACUCUUAGCAUUCAGAUGUAUGGUUGUCGAGUUAUCCAAAAGGCAAUAGAGGUUGUUGAUCUGGACCAGAAGACAAAAAUGGUUACUGAGCUUGAUGGUCAUAUCAUGCGAUGUGUGCGUGAUCAAAAUGGAAACCAUGUUAUCCAGAAAUGUAUUGAGUGUAUACCAGAAGAUUCCAUUCAGUUUAUUAUCUCGACAUUCUAUGGUGAAGUCGUUACACUGUCCACUCACCCCUAUGGCUGCAGAGUCAUACAGAGAGUACUGGAGCAUUGCACUGAUACAAACACACAGCAAAUUGUCAUGGAUGAGAUAUUGCAAUCUGUAUGCAUGCUGGCACAAGACCAGUAUGGAAAUUAUGUUAUCCAGCAUGUUAUGCAGCAUGGGAAGCCUCAUGAGCGGUCUUUUAUUAUUGAAAAGCUAGCUGGACAGAUCAUCCAGAUGAGCCAACAGAAAUUUGCCUCAAAUGUUGUCGAGAAGUGUCUAACAUUUGGAGGACCUUCAGAGCGGGAAGUUAUCAUAAAUGAAAUGCUUGGAACUACUGACGAGAAUGAGCCUCUCCAGGCCAUGAUGAAGGAUCAGUUUGGUAACUAUGUUGUACAGAAAGUACUGGAGACUUGUGAUGAUCAGCAGAGAGAGCUGAUUCUUUCACGAAUAAAGGUUCAUUUAAAUGCGCUGAAGAAAUAUACAUAUGGGAAGCACAUUGUUGCUCGGGUGGAAAAACUUGUUGCUGCUGGUGAGAGGAGGAUUGGGCUUCAGUCGUCGCAGUAUCCUUCCUAAUGGCAUAGGAAUGACCAUGUACAGCUAACCAUGGCCACCGAGAUCUACCUUCUGCCGCCUGCUUUUGGGCUGCUGCAAGCCAAGUUAGAAAUAAACAUGUUGUACUGAGACUUUGUACAUUUUGUAGUUUGAGCUUAUAGUCGUGUCAGGGUUUGGCUCAGCGAGUUUAUUUACCUGAUGCCACCGCGGAGAAGAUAGGCGUCAUGUAUAAGUUGUCGUCUAGGUGUAAAAAGGGGAGGAGAGUCGAUAUUUUGCGAGUGUACAAAUCUGCAAUCCUGAGAGAGGAAGCUACCGGAGCUGUCUAGAACAAAAUUUUAUCGCCAUCCCGUGUGUAUAACUGAGGAUUAUGAAGUUAGCUGCCGUUCAUUUCCUGUAAUCCUCUAUGAUCCUGUCUGGCCUUCAAGGGUCUGUUUUUUUCUCAUGAAAAUGCGGAAACAUGGUAGGCAUAGAUGUGCAAAAUAACCCUAAAAAGUGAAGUGCAA